rnacentral:rRNA from 1 species
AAAUAGAACUUUGCAGAGAGAGUUAACAGGGCGUGAAACCGUUAAUUGGCAAACGAAUCGGAGCCACGAAGUCGUUUCGUUGUUUAGCCUGGAUCAGGUUCAGCGGGAGUCGAGAGGCUCCCGUGUACUCCUGGGUCUGGCCAAACCUUGUAAGCGUACACUGCAACCAGUUAGACGAUCAGUUGUGGGCACAGUGGUUAAACGAGUUAGUAGUAGCGCGGUUGGACCUCGGUCCUCCUCGUGUUGCUGGGCUUGUUUGAGUGAACUACAACUGAAUACUGACUGGCGAAAUGAAAAUCGCCCGUCGCGGCGUUAGAGACAACGCGGCCAGCCGGACGCCGGUCUACGCGGUCGACUGUUAGGUCUAAGCUUGGCGCUCUUGAAUUCAGACUUGCUCGCUACCAGUGGGGCAACUCCUGGUGCUUGUAUAGCUUCUGUCUAAUCGGGCGUCGACUUGGCUUGGCAUUGUUCGGACGUGCUUCGAUUGGGCUAACGUGCGAGUUGGUUCGCAAUGUGAAUUGGCAGUGAGUAGGUCGGCUUUCCGAACGACCCGUCUUGAAACACGGACCAAGGAGUCUAAUUAGGCAUCGAGUCGAUCGGUCUUGAAUAGGCCAGACAGGUGCUCCUGCAUCGAUCGAAGGCGUAGAGAAAUCGUGUGAUCGUGGGGGCAACAACAGCCACUGCGCGCAACAUGUGCCUGUUCGUAUAGCAAUGUGCAAUAUGCUGAGCGGAGCAGAGAGAUGCCUGAUUGGGACCCGAAAGAUGGUGAUGCUUGGGCAAAUUGAAGCCAGAGGAAACUCUGGUGGAGGAUUGUAGCGAUUCUGACGUGCAAAUCGAUCGUCAGACCUGAGUAUAGGGGCGAAAGACUAAUCGAACCAUC